rnacentral:tRNA from 1 species
UGCAUCGGCCGGGAAUCGAACCGCCCGCGUGGCAGGCGAGCAUUCUACCACUGAACCACCGAUGG